ACUAGCCACUUGUGUAUGGGAUACUAAUACAAGGAUAUGGGUACUCAUUUGAAAAAUGAGUCCACUGAAUUGACUCGAUGAAAGAGAACAUCUUAUGAAAGCCUUACUUGCAUGUAAAAGAUGGUUCUCUAAGUGGGAGUUGUGCAAGUGAUCCUUAGACCUGAGACCAUCAUAGAAUCCUGUACACAUGAAUCCAUAUUUUGGUUCAUACUCAGGCAUAGUAUUAAGACAUGUAUGGGG
rnacentral:lncRNA from 1 species